rnacentral:lncRNA from 1 species
UUUGACAGCAUAAUUUAUUAAAUGAUUUAUAAAGUGAAGAGUUCACUGCCAAGAAUAAUAACUCGCAUUCUUGGCACGUGUUAACAUUGUUAUAACAUUGGCAGCACCCUUAUGAUAUUAUUUAAACAUUAGCAUUUGACAAGAGUGAAUAGCUGACUGAUAAAAUAGCUAAUUGUAAUUUGUUAUAAUUGGCAGGUGCACGGGGCGACUCGCUUACUCGAUCCAUCGCGAAAAUCCCCUCUUCCACCCUUUUUGCAUUGCUGGCAAAGCCGAUGCUGAUGUCGAUUCGCAUUGUCGAGUUUCAAACCCGUAAGGGCGUAUCUUUGUUGCCGAACACCACUCAUUCGUUAUCGUUCGGCUGUUACAAUCGUCAGGAUAGCUUCGACUUAAGUGUGAAAGACGACAGAUCUUCAUCAGCGAGAACAUCAAAGGUUCUCCAUGUCUUUCUUGAAGAAGAAGUUUAUAUGUCCCUCAGAAUCUGCACGUUUAAAUUAUUGCAAAAUUCGGAGUUUAAAUGUGAAAGUAAUGAGAGUUAUUAAAAAAGAAGUACUAUUUCACACACAUUAAUAGUAUUCAAGCGAAUUUCGAGGGUUCUUCGAUAAAGCUGAUUCCCGACAUACGGCCGACGGACGCUCCCUAAUAAGUUCAAGCGACGAUUAUGGUGGCCGACGCCGUAGCCGACGACGACAACGACGACGACGACGACGACGGAUAAAACAUAACAUCCCGUCGCAAAGCGAGCGUGCCAAAAUUAUGCCCCUGCUCGCCGAAAAGGAACAACACGAAGAUUGCAAGACCUCGACUAUGCAACAAUAAGCGCGAUCACGAAGAGACGGUUGUUCGUUCACAUGUAUCACGCGACUUUUAUGGUUGACACUGAAAGAGCCCAAGAGAAGCGGACGAGCUAUGUUUAAAGUUAACCGACGUUGAGGGAAGCGGUCCUUAGAAGAAUGAGUAAUUUUAGGAACCAACAGAGGGAAAACACAGGAGAUACAAGGAGGACUCAUCUUCUGCCUAUUAUCGAAACGAAAAAUAGAUGUAUAAUGGAUGCAAAGGAGCAACUUGACGAUACGCCAAGAACCAAUCUCAAUGGAUAGAGAGAAUGCUGUGAACUUGAACCUUAUUCGAAGAUUCAGCAAUGGGUCAAAGAACUUUUUUAAGAUAGAAAGAAAGACUUAAAAAAGCAAAGAAAUUGGAAGAAAAGAUGUGAACUGUGAUAUUGCUACGUCAAAAGGAUACCGGAGAUAUAAACUAAGAGAUAAAAUUUACAUGAGAUUCUGUUGCCGACACUUCUGGCUUCUGCUAUCGCGCGUAAACUUUCGAGAGACCGAGCAAGAGCACAGUAAGGGAGAAAAAGAGAGAGAGAAAGAGAGAGAGAGAGAGUGAGAGAGAGAGAGAGAGAGACGUCUCGCGGAUCUA